GACAUGCCCAAGUCCAAUAUAUACUUCUCGAGUCUUAUUACACUAGCCAGUAAAAGAUAGCGGCAUGCGGCUAUACAUGCAUGGCUUACUUACCAGCCAACACUUCACUCAUGGACGCGCACAUGUUAACAUACUACCACACGGUGGUAAUAAUAAAAUAAUUACGACGCGAACGUACAUGCCUGCAUGGAGAUGCAGAAUAUAUCCAUGCAUGUCCCUCGCAUGGUAACGUUGCGUGAUACGUGUGCGUCUACUAUAUAUUCAUCACAGCUCGAGGCGGGCCAGCUCGUCGGCGAACACCUCCCUGAACGCCGGCAUGCUCUCGGGCUCCAGCGACAGCACGAGCGCGAGGGCGCCGUCCUUGCCGGGCGCGUUCAUCACGUACACGAAGCCGCUGUAGUACAUGAGGGCCGGCCCCAUGAACGCCGGCGCGCCCCACCCGAAGUCGGCGUCGGAGAGCGACAUGCCCAUCCAGCUGAUGGCGCGGAGGUGCGCGCGCGAGAUGCCGCUGCGGGGCAGGUUCAUCGUGUCCACCCCUUCCAGGUAGUCCACCAGCGACCUCGCGUGGUCGCCGCCCUGGCUCGUCGCCGCGCGCGCCAGCCUCGCGGCGUGGACCAGCGGGCUCGACACCACCUCCUCCACGGUGGCCGACACCGACGUGCGGAUCACCGCGUUGCCGAAGUACCCCGCCGGGAGCUGCGGGUCCAGGCGCGCGCGCAUGUCCACCAUGGAGUAGAGCCGCGUCUCGGCCGACGGAGGGAGCGCGCGGGCGCGGCACACGCACUGCCACACCAGGGCCACCACGGCGCGGAACGUGGAUGCGCCGAGGCACCGCGCCUUGAGCGCGCCCACCUGGCCCUUGCUCAUCGUGACGAUGGCGCUCGCGUACGUGGAGGCCGACACGGGGUCCACCGGCUCCGGCUCCGGCUUGUACUCCGGGUGGUCGUACAGCACCGCGCGCGACUGCGGCGGGCGCGCGGCGAGCAGCGUGUGGUCGAAGCACGGCGGCACGGUGGGCGCGCCUGCGCCGCGGGAGAUGCUCGCCCAGGUCUCGAAGAAGUGCGCGGCGCCGCGCGCGUCGACGAUCGAGUGGUGCAUGGCCUGGCCGAGCACCAGGCCGCCGCAGCGGAGGCGCGUGAUCUGCACGAAGAGCAGCGCGCAGGGCGGGUUGGGCGCCGGCGUGGGCGGGACGAGCAGGUCCCGCAUCUCGCCGCAGGGCACGAACUCGUUCAUCAGCUCCUCGAGCGCGUAGUGCUCGGAGCGGGCGGUGACGAAUACCACGCCCUCGGCGGUGCAGUCCACCUGGACGCGGCCGGUGGCGUCGAGGCCCAGGCGGCCGGCGAGCGGGUAGAAAGCGACGAGCGCCCUGGCGAGGCUGUCCUUCAUGGCGUCGGCGGCGAAGAAGCCCGGGUCGCCGUUGGGGCGGAAGAAGUAGACGGUGGGGGUGUAGCCUCUCCUCCCGGCGAGGUCGAGGUUGGAGAGCCAGAUGCUGCCCCCCGGCGUCGGCUCGGCCGGGACGACCAGCUCCGACGAGAGCACCUCCACCAUCGCCAUUGCCAACCGAGCUAGCUAGUGUGAAGUGACGUUGAAAGUUGGCAGUUGGCAGUUGGCAGUCGGCGUUGUGAUUUCUAAGAGCGCUCCGCCGGGUUUAAAUAGAAGCAGGAAGGCGCCAUGGAGAUGGAGGCCAUCUCCAUGGCGCGCGCGGUUGGUGGCAUUUGCGCUGUACACUGGAGCCACGCGGCCGUGUAAAAUCGAUGACUGGUAAAGACGGCCGGUGCGGUAAAGCAGAUAGCUGCUGGGAGCUCCGAACGACAUGAUUAGGCGUGUCUCUCUCGUCUCCAUGCC
rnacentral:rRNA from 1 species